UACAGAGGGGGCAAGCGUUAUUCGGAAUUAUUGGGCGUAAAGGGCGCGUAGGCGGCGAUUCAAGUGACGGGUGAAAUCCCUCGGCUUAACCGAGGAACUGCCUGUCAGACUGGAUUGCUUGAGGCCGGGAGAGGCGAGUGGAAUUCCCAGUGUAGCGGUGAAAUGCGUAGAUAUUGGGAGGAACACCGGUGGCGAAGGCGGGUCUCUGGGCAGUAACUGACGCUGAGGAGCGAAAGCGUGGGGAGCGAACAGG
rnacentral:rRNA from 1 species